rnacentral:misc_RNA from 1 species
GAUGAAGAACGUAGCGAAAUGCAAUAAGUAAUGUGAAUUGCAGAAUUCAGUGAAUCAUCGAAUCUUUGAACGCACAUUGCGCCCGCCAGUAUUCUGGCGGGCAUGCCUGUCCGAGCGUCAUUUCAACCCUCGAACCCCUCCGGGGGGUCGGCGUUGGGGAUCGGCCCUUUACGGGGCCGGCCCCGAAAUACAGUGGCGGUCUCGCCGCAGCCUCUCCUGCGCAGUAGUUUGCACACUCGCAUCGGGAGCGCGGCGCGUCCAAUGCCGUAAAACACCCAACUUUCUGAAAUGUUGACCUCGGAUCAGGUAGGAAUACCCGCUGAACUUAAGCAUAUCAAUAAGCGGAGGA